rnacentral:piRNA from 1 species
UAUGUGGGUAAAUCCAGCACU